ACCUGCGGAAGGAUCAUUAAAGAAAUAAUCUCGAGGGCCGAUGGAAAGGAGAGAGGGUUGUAGCUGGCGUAAGCACGUGCACGCCCUCUUUCUCGACCUAGGUCCUUAUGGGCGCGGGGCGACCCGCGUCUUCAUAAGCCCCUUCGUGUAGAAAGUCAAUGAAUGUUUUUUUACCAUCAUCGACUCGCGACUUCUAGGAGACGCGAUUCUUUGAGACAAAAGUUAUUACAACUUUCAGCAAUGGAUCUCUUGGCUCUCGCAUCGAUGAAGAACGCAGCGAAUCGCGAUAUGUAAUGUGAAUUGCAGAUCUACAGUGAAUCAUCGAAUCUUUGAACGCACCUUGCGCUUAUCGGUGUUCCGAUGAGCAUGCCUGUUUGAGCGUCAUUAAAUUCUCAACCCCUCUCGAUUUGCUUCGAGAGGGUGCUUGGAUAGUGGAGGCUGCCGGAGACCUGUUUUUUCAGGACUCGGGCUCCUCUGAAAUGUAUUGGCUUGCGGUCGACUUUCGACUGUGCAUGACAAGGCCUUUGGCGUGAUAAUGAUCGCCGCUCGCCGAAGUGCACGAACGAAUGGUCUCGUGCCCCUAAUCAGUCGAUGUCUUUUCGAAGGCGUCUUCCUUAUUGACGUUUGACCUCAAAUCAGGUAGGACUACCCGCUGAACUUA
rnacentral:rRNA from 1 species